CUGGCAACCACAUUGCAGGAGCUCGCCCAUGGAACAGGCCUGCGUGACCGCGUGGCUGGCACCAGCGGCGGUAAUCGCAAACACAAAGGCUGUCUCUCGAAUAUCUGUGGGAGGACAGAGCCCAGGCCAGAGAAAGCACCUCCCUUCAGGCCUCUCCCACACUAACCCUGCUGCAAGACGCGCCCAAAGGCCUUGCUGUGACUGGAGCAGUUCCAGCGUCGGAAACGGAACUGGAACUGACAUUCUCGGACCCCCAGCCUUGCGCCCCGGGCGAGCUCUGCCACCACUUCCGGCUCUGCCUGGCACAGCUCAGCCUGCCGUCCUGCUAGCCGCCUGGCCUUCCUGCAGAUGCUGGUAGGAUCCAUGACCAGGGGGCUACCCACAGCCCUGGGGAGCAGAACAGAAGUCUAGGCUGAAAACUGCAUCAUGACAAAAAUUCAGUCUUAUCCUUCUGUGUGCAUCUUCAUUAAUGACUCCUU